GAGCUCAAAUAAACUCUGUCUACUUCUCCCCCCAGUGUGUUUAUUUGGCGCGACGCACACCGGGCAACGAACCCAAUUGUUGUCUCCCUUGGGCACCUUGUGCUGGCAACAGUUUUUGGUGCCCAACAUGGGGCUCGAGGCUAACAUUUCGCCUUGCCCGGAUCCCUCCUGGGGUCGACGACUUGUGGCAACAACCGACGCCCAGCGCGCACCGGUGGUUUCAUCGGGGGCCUCAGCAGAGGCGUGAUUUGAUCGACCCCGGAGAGCACAACGGUGCAACGCGCUCAAAUAGUGGAGAAGCGAUCAUGGGCGACGGUGUGGAACUGGUCCCUCGGACAAGAUGUAAAUGGGCCUGGUAG
rnacentral:lncRNA from 1 species